rnacentral:rRNA from 1 species
CCUACGGGAGGCAGCAGUGGGGAAUAUUGCACAAUGGGCGCAAGCCUGAUGCAGCCAUGCCGCGUGUAUGAAGAAGGCCUUCGGGUUGUAAAGUACUUUCAGCGAGGAGGAAGGCAUUAAGGUUAAUAACCUURGUGAUUGACGUUACUCGCAGAAGAAGCACCGGCUAACUCCGUGCCAGCAGCCGCGGUAAU